rnacentral:lncRNA from 1 species
UCCCUCACUGCACGUUCCCGCCGCGUCUUCCUCCGACGCGCUCGCGUCGUUUCGCCGCGUUCGCGCGUUCGCGCGCUUCGUCGUCCCCAAUUUCCGUCUCCGUCGCGUCGUGAGCGGUGAGUCCCGCAUCCCGUCGCCAUCGUCGUCACCAUCGCCUAACGCCCGUCCGCGCGUCGUCUGCACCGCCUCCGUCGUCAUUCGCAUCGACGCCCACGGGUCAUCUCUCGCCGCGCCGUUUCGUUGAAACGUCUCCAUUCGUUCGUUCGUCGUUCGUUCGUUCGCGCGUUCGGCGUUCGUCGUUCGUUCGCGCGACGACGCGUCGUCGACGCGCGUCGACGACGGUCGACGACGGACUCCCUCGGUCGGCUCGAGCGCCGCGAUCGGUGCGUUCGAG